GACGAACGCUGGCGGCGUGCCUAAUACAUGCAAGUUGAGCGAUGAAGAUUGGUGCUUGCACCAAUUUGAAGAGCAGCGAACGGGUGAGUAACGCGUGGGGAAUCUGCCUUUGAGCGGGGGACAACAUUUGGAAACGAAUGCUAAUACCGCAUAACAACUUUAAACAUAAGUUUUAAGUUUGAAAGAUGCAAUUGCAUCACUCAAAGAUGAUCCCGCGUUGUAUUGGCUAGUUGGUGAGGUAAAGGCUCACCAAGGCGAUGAUACAUAGCCGACCUGAGAGGGUGAUCGGCCACAUUGGGACUGAGACACGGCCCAAACUCCUACGGGAGGCAGCAGUAGGGAAUCUUCGGCAAUGGACGAAAGUCUGACCGAGCAACGCCGCGUGAGUGAAGAAGGUUUUCGGAUCGUAAAACUCUGUUGGUAGAGAAGAACGUUGAUGAGAGUGGAAAGCUCAUCAAGUGACGGUAACUACCCAGAAAGGGACGGCUAACUACGUG
rnacentral:rRNA from 1 species